rnacentral:rRNA from 1 species
ACGAACGCUGGCGGCGUGCCUAAUACAUGCAAGUCGAGCGGAAUGAUGAAGAAGCUUGCUUCUUCUGAUUUUAGCGGCGGACGGGUGAGUAACACGUGGGCAACCUACCUUGUAGAUUGGGAUAACUCCGGGAAACCGGGGCUAAUACCGAAUAAUCCAUUUUGCUUCAUGGCGAGAUGUUGAAAGACGGUUUCGGCUGUCACUAUAAGAUGGGCCCGCGGCGCAUUAGCUAGUUGGUAGGGUAAUGGCCUACCAAGGCGACGAUGCGUAGCCGACCUGAGAGGGUGAUCGGCCACACUGGGACUGAGGCACGGCCCAGACUCCUACGGGAGGCAGCAGUAGGGAAUCUUCCACAAUGGACGAAAGUCUGAUGGAGCAACGCCGCGUGAGUGAAGAAGGUUUUCGGAUCGUAAAACUCUGUUGUAAGGGAAGAACACGUACGAGAGUAACUGCUCGUACCUUGACGGUACCUUAUUAGAAAGCCACGGCUAACUACGUG